UUCCAUGAAACGUCCGCGUUGUGGACCAAUCACAAAUCUGUAUCCUCUCCGGUAACGCCUUCCCCGGUGCACGUAGGCGGAAACAUCCCGAGUGCUCAGAGAAAAGCCCAGUUUACUUCCAAGCGCUUACUCUCUUUCUGGGCAUUGGUCUAUGGCGUCAGGAUACAAUGGCAUCCCAAACUACGUUCCCACCCCGCUCCUGUUCUAUCAGAGGGACGAGAAGGUAAACAAAUAACAGCUCAGGUGAUGACAGAUGCCGCCACGAAGGGGUGGGGUUGGGCGUGCUGGGCAGGAGGAAUUAGUAAAUGUUAUAUUAGGAUGGUUCUCGAUGAGGCGCAUUUGUGCCCAGAGAGGGGGAAACAGUAUCUGGCAGGAAGUGCCUGCAGAAUGGAAUAAUCAAGCGACGAUCUUUUCUCUUCCACCAUGAUUUUAAAAGAGUUAAGGAUUCCCUAUCACUUCAGGACUUCUUUACCUAUUAAUUGCUUUUUUUGGUUGUCAGACAAUGUUUCUUCUUUGGCAAUCUCGAAUAUAAACUCCAAGGACGUCAUGGAGACCUGCACUUAACGUUUUGGAGGAAGUUUCUUUAGAAGAGAUCCAGGGACUUGGAUGUUCGAGUUCCCCUCUCCCUGCGGCCAGGGGAGCGCACCUGACAUACUCCCGAGUCUGGUUCUGUUUAGGAUGCAGACCGUGCCGUCUGGGAGUGACUUCCACACUCAGUGACUUAACACAACCGCUUUAUUUUUGUCUUGUGACUCUGUGGGCCAGAAGUUUGGGGAAAGCUCGGGCAAGCCGUUCUUCUUGGGCCCCUCAUGCACUUGGCGCUGGACUUGGCUUGGCAUGGCCGCUGUCACCUGAAGGCCAACUGGGCUGGAGGCUCCACGUGGCCCCGUUGCUCGGUAGGAGUUUGGUGAGGCCCGUGGUCUGGGAGCUCGGCCAGGGCUGCCCCCUGGGCCGCCUACAGGUGACCCCUCAGAAGGCUGUCUCGGGGCGGCCGGACAGCACACGAGCAGCUAGCUUCCCAGGGCGGGUGAAUUCCAUCGUACACCGUGGGUCGGAGCCCCCCCACCUCCAGCCAGAGUCACAGGGAAGGGUGACAGACAUCACCCCACAGUGGGAGAAGGUCAGAGAACUUGCGGCCGUUUUUUAAAAGAGGCUCCACACACAGCAUGGAGCUCAGCACAAGACUUGAACUCAUGACCCUGAGAUCAAGAAUCAGCCACUUAACGGACUGAACCACCCAGGUGCCCAUGGAGCCAUUUUUUUAAACAGCUCCAACCAGUGCUGUGUUAUGCACUUUCCAAAUUCAAUGAUGCAUUUUUAAAAAAUUUUUUGUAAUCUUUAUCUGUUUUUGAGAGAGAGAGAGAGAGAGAGAGAGGCAGAGCACGAGUGGGGGAGGGGCAGAGAGAGAGGGAGACACAGAAUCUGAAGCAGGCUCCAGGCUCCGAGCUGUCAGCACAGAGCCCGACGCGGGGCUCGAACUCAUAGACCACGAGAUCGUGACCUGAGCCGAAGUUGGACGCUCAGUCGACUGAGCCACCCAGGCGCCCCAAAGAUGCAUUUUUUUUUGAGUGACCAGAUUGACAUACCCAUACUUCCUUAUACUCUGUGUUCUCAUUGGUCUGCUUAGACAUAACAGAGCACAGCACUUGGAAGAAUUCUGCUCACAGAAUCAUCACACGUUGGAUUCCAGUGAUAGACAUGGCCGACUGGGGGGUCGGCGUUUGCUAAUUGCAAUUAGAUUUUGUGUGGGAUGUUUCUGACUGCAAAUGUAAAUGGUUCCUCCCACAAAUGAGCCCUGGAGAAAAUACUCUUGAUGACCCAGACUCAUUUUUCUAUUGGGAUGUAAGCACUGAGGUGGGAUUUGCCAGCCCUCCACAACCUCUUAGGAAUCAACUGAAGCGUGUUCCACGCCACGUUCUAGUCAUGAGUUUUAAAGAAGGUUUGAAACAGAAGACAGCUGAUGGACCGUUCUCGGUCUUUCUCUGACAUCCGAGAAGGAGAAAACUGGGGAGUCUUCAUGAGCAUACUGUGUUUUACACUAAGGUUUCCUUUUGGGAAGCACAUGCCCAUUCUUCCGUCUGAAGAGUCCUGUGUUCCGAGAGCUCAAGUAAGCCGAAGGGACUUCCGACCCACGAGAAGGGCUCAUUUAUGUUUGUAUUAAGCGUGCUCCCACUCCCCAAGGCAAGCUGCCAAAGUAGAAGCUCUCCAAGCUGGCCGAGGCCGCUGUGACGUCACUUCCCAUUCCAGAGCCCUGUCCCCUCCCAGGGCAGGAAUGAAUCCAAACCAACCCAGGGGACACCAGCAGCUGGACACGUGGGGGGCUUCAUUCCUUAUCAUCCACCCUUUGCCUGUGGUCUCAGGGUCUCUGGACCUAAAAAAGUAACUGUUCCCCCACAGAAAUUAGGGGACCCGUCUGUAAACAUACCACUAAGUAACAGAUUCCACUCAAGAAUACGGAUUAAUGGAAAUCUCAGUUAGUUAGAGGAAAAGCUCCUUCCCUAGGAGGCACGCUUGUGUGAUACCAAGAGCACAUCAAUUCAUAGUCCAAAAAGUGCCUGCAUGGGGACAUUGCUGGGAUAUAUCGCACAUCCUGUCUCCGGUAAUUGCCACCUUCGUCACAAUUGUUGCCGAAGUUCCUUUUCAAGCGUAUGUAUGUUCAGGGUAAAUGUAUUCUACAGCUCAUUAUUAUCCCUUAAAAAAUAUUUACUUCUUAUUCUGCAGCUCAGUUUGUAGAAAGUAGAAGGGAUUGCCCUGGGCUGGCUGUCUUGAGAAGGUCUAAUGAGUGAAGGCAUGAUAGAAGGUGAGAGAAAGGUGUUCCGUCAGAUCUAAAGUAGAUGCCACGCGCUCAAUUCAUAUCCCACUUGUAAAUCUGCUGCCCUAACGUUCAGUGGCAAGGCUGCCUGGGUCAUGGCUAUUACUUCUUUUUUUAUUGAAAUAUAAUUGACACACAGGGUUAUGUUAGUUUCAGGUGUACGACAUAGUGACUCAGUGUUGUUCAUUACUCAGUGCUCUCUGCGAUAAAUACGGUCAUCAUCCAUCACCGUGCAGUGCUAUUGCAGUGUUACUGCUUGUAUUCCUUGUGCUGUACUUUCCAUGCCUGUGACUAAUUUAUUUUAUAACUGGAAAUGUGUGCCUCUUAAUCACCUAUUUCACCCACCCUGCCACCUCCCUCCCCUCUGGCAGCCACCGGUUUGUUCUCUGUAUUCAAGAGUCUGUUUGUUCAUUUGUUUUGUUUUAUAGAUUCUACACAUCAAUGAAAGCGUGUGGUAUUUGUUUUUCUCCGUCUGACUUACUUCACUUAGCAUAAUACCCUCUAGGUGAACCGGUGUUGUCACAAAUGGCAAGAGAGACACAUAGAUCGGUGGGACAGAAAUAAACCCGUGCUUACACGGUCA
rnacentral:lncRNA from 1 species